AAGCAAAUGUGAAAGAUAUUCCAAAUAUGCCACAUUUAAAGCUUGGGUCAAUUGAAGUAAAUAAUUAUUUAGAAUAUCUUCAAGAGCUUUUUGCUUUCAUAAGUUCCACGAACUCUUAGUUGGUAAAUAUGCUGUUUCACAAACAGCUUUUAGUCUUGCCUUAGUUAACAAAACUUUUACAUAAUUGAGCUCGAUAAAAGCAGCUUUCAACAAGAAGGAAAACUGUUGUCAAUCAUAUAAUUUUUAAAUAUUUAGAAAGCUGCACUAAACUAACUGAAAUAUUUAUUAGGCUAUGCUUAACUUGUCAUUUCGUUUAAAACAAGUUGGCAGCACUGCACUAACUUUCUGAGUUAUGUGACAACUGCCUUCUGCCCCACAAAACCUGGCCACUUGCUGCUUAUAAUUCGCCGCGUAACUGAAAGGUUGUUAAGAAGAGUUCGGGUUGACGGCUACAUAUUGCCUUGAGUUUUACGCAAAUUGGCAGCACGCUGAAUUCACGAUAUGUUGGCAGCGCAUAAACUGAAUCAACUGCCAGAACAAGCCAGUGCCGUGGUUGUGUGGGGGCUGGCUGCGAGAUACGAGUUGUGAGUUGCGAGCUGUGGCAUUCAAAUGGUGGCAAUAAAUUUUAAAACGUUUGCACGUUGCAGGUGACUUUGUGCCACCCCCCCUCCCCCUUCCUUUUUAUUUGUGCUAACAAUUUUAGCUGACACGCCCACUCUUGCACGCCCUCUUUGCAUUUUUGGUGUGCCCCGGCAAUUUGCUGCUCAAUUGAACUCUGCGCACGGAUUUGCCGGCUGCUCUUCGACUGUAGUUCUGUCUGUUUAUCUACGUGGGUAUGUGUGUAUGGUGCCUGUUUUGCAUAGGUUUUGACAAUUUUGGUGCAGUAGCUGCGUGCGCCGCAUGUUUGUAAGCCAGUAUGCAGCUGCUAACGAAGUCAUUCAGCGUUCUGCAUGCCACGUGACAGACUCAAAGAAAUCAGCUCUGCCAAAUUCUGUUGCAACGACGCGUCACGAAGCUGCAUUUCAUUAUGCCAGCUACAUGUCGAUGUGUGUGAGGGACUUCAGCAUUUGGUCGGCCUACAUGCAGUUCUCUUGCGCACAGCAUUUGAUUUGUUACUCAUACGCCACGUAAACAACGUUGCAAAUCUGUUUUCGUGGCUGUGUGUGUGUGCUUAUCGUUUAUGCCAUAUUCUCAUCUUAUGCCGAGCAGCAAAGCGUUUUCUGCCACAAAUAUACAGCAUUGCAUGGACACAACAGAAAUUUGCUGGGCGUCAGACUUCAAAUGCAAUCUAUCCAUUGACAGAUGCGUGUCACGGGCCAUAGAUCAUUGGCUAUCAAUUCAUUGGUUGGUUGUAAGCUUUUAUGUAAUUUAAGCAGCAAUUCUAUUAGCUGUAAGUGGUAUUUAGACUUUACAACUCUAGAGCUAUAAAGGAACGUGGAUGCUUUAAACGGGCAAAAUUUAGCGGAUCAAUAAACUUUUUACUCGAAGUCGGCUUCGUAA